rnacentral:rRNA from 1 species
CGGACGGGUGAGUAAUGCCUAGGAAUCUGCCUGGUAGUGGGGGACGAACGUUUCGAAAGGAACGCUAAUACCGCAUACGUCCUACGGGAGAAAGCAGGGGACCUCCGGGCCUUGCGCUAUCAGAUGAGCCUAGGUCGGAUUAGCUAGUUGGUGAGGUAAUGGCUCACCAAGGCGACGAUCCGUAACUGGUCUGAGAGGAUGAUCAGUCACACUGGAACUGAGACACGGUCCAGACUCCUACGGGAGGCAGCAGCU